rnacentral:rRNA from 1 species
AAUCAACGCUGGCGGCGUGCCUAACACAUGCAAGUCGAGCGAGAAAGGGGGGGCAACUCCCUGAGUACAGCGGCGCACGGGUGAGUAACACGUGGGUAAUCUGCCCUGAAGUGGGGAAUAACACCGGGAAACCGGUGCUAAUACCGCAUACGAUCACAGAGUCUGCGGAUUUUGUGAUGAAAGGAGCAAUUCGCUUUAGGAGGAGCCCGCGGCUGAUUAGCUAGUUGGUGAGGUAAUGGCUCACCAAGGCAACGAUCAGUAUCCGGUCUGAGAGGAAGGUCGGACACACUGGAACUGAGACACGGUCCAGACUCCUACGGGAGGCAGCAGUGGGGAAUAUUGGACAAUGGGCGAAAGCCUGAUCCAGCCAUGCCGCGUGUGUGAAGAAGGUCUUCGGAUUGUAAAGCACUUUAAGUCGGGAGGAAGGACUGUAGGCUAAUACCUUGCAGUUUUGACGUUACCGACAGAAUAAGCACCGGCUAACUUCGUGCCAGCCGCCGCAGUAA